CAGAUAAUGAAGUCUGGACCCAGAGAGGGGGAGUGACGUGCUUGCGGUGCUUUAGCGCAGGACUAGCAGAGCUGGUGGUAAAACCGUGCCUGGCUGGAUGCUUCCAGUUUUACUCAAGUACUCUCAGGUGACUACAGAAGUGUCAGUGCCCACCAUGGUCAGAAAGACGGCAAACAGAGUUCACAUGAAGUUCAUAAGUAUUUGCUUGGCUGCAAAUAAUUUUUUACCAGGUGAUGAUGGAGUAAACCAGACUGUUGAAACAACAUCGAUACAUUCUUUGGCUACAGUUCAGUCGUUUGAGAGAGGUUUGAGAGGCUUUUUAAAAGAAAAGUUCAUGUA